AUGGCUCCUGAAUAUGCCUCGGAGGGACAAUUCUCAAUCAAGUCGGAUGUAUUCAACUUCGGUGUGUUGCUUCUAGAGAUCAUCUCUGGGAAAAGAAACAACGGGUUCAACCAAACUGGGAACAUUGGUAAUCUUCUUGGAUAUGCUUGGCUAUUAUGGAAAGGGAAAAAAUGGUGUGAGCUCAUUGACCCUUGCUUAGACGUUAAGCAUCCAAAUAUGGAGAUUAUGAGAUUCAUUAACGUUGGGUUAAUGUGCGUACAAGACGACGCUGUCGACUGCCCUACAAUCUCGGAUGCUAUCUCUUUGCUUAUGAAUGAGAGCAUAAUCUUGCCUAACCCGAAGAAGCCUGCUUACUUUAGGAACAAAGGAGAAGAUCCAGAGUUAGAGGAACAAUAUAGUGUAAACCUCCUUACU
rnacentral:rRNA from 1 species